UACAGAGGUCUCAAGCGUUGUUCGGAUUCAUUGGGCGUAAAGGGUGCGUAGGCGGUUUUUUAAGUUUGAUGUGAAAUCCCGGGGCUCAACCCUGGAAUUGCAUUGAAUACUGAAGAACUAGAGAUCUGGAGAGGAAACUGGAAUUUACGGUGUAGCAGUGAAAUGCGUAGAGAUCGUAAGGAAGACCAGUGGCGAAGGCGAGUUCUGGACGGUAACUGACGCUGAGCACGAAGGCCAGG
rnacentral:rRNA from 1 species